rnacentral:rRNA from 1 species
CGAUGCAACGCGAAAACCUUACCCACCUUUGACAUGUACGGAAUUUGCCAGAGAUGGCUUAGUGCUCGAAAGAGAGCCGUAACACAGGUGCUGCAUGGCUGUCGUCAGCUCGUGUCGUGAGAUGUUGGGUUAAGUCCCGCAACGAGCGCAACCCUUGUCAUUAGUUGCUACAUUCAGUUGGGCACUCUAAUGAGACUGCCGGUGACAAACCGGAGGAAGGUGGGGAUGACGUCAAGUCCUCAUGGCCCUUAUAGGUGGGGCUACACACGUCAUACAAUGGCCGGUACAAAGGGUCGCAAACCCGCGAGGGGGAGCCAAUCCAUCAAAGCCGGUCGUAGUCCGGAUCGCAGUCUGCAACUCGACUGCGUGAAGUCGGAAUCGCUAGUAAUCAUGGAUCAGCAUGUCACGGUGAAUACGUUCCCGGGUCUU